UGGGGAAUUUUGCACAAUGGGGGAAACCCUGAUGCAGCGACGCCGCGUGAUUUAGAAGGCCUUCGUGUUGUAAAAAUCUUUUCUAUGGGAAGAAAAUGACAGUACCAUAGGAAUAAGGACCGGCUAAUUACGUGCCAGCAGCCGCGGUAAUACGUAAGGUCCGAGCGUUGUCCGGAAUCAUUGGGCGUAAAGGGUACGUAGGCGGGUAAGCAAGUUAGAAGUGAAAUCCUAUAGCUCAACUAUAGUAAGCUUUUAAAACUGCUCAUCUUGGGGUAUGGAAGGGAAAGUGGAAUUCCUAGUGUAGCGGUGAAAUGCGCAGAUGUUAGGAGGAAUACCGGUGGCGAAGGCGACUUUCUGGCCAUAACCUGACGCUGAGGUACGAAAGCGUGGGUAGCAAACAGG
rnacentral:rRNA from 1 species